UCCAAUGUGGUGUAGUGGCUAACAUUGCUGUCUUUCAGGGAAUUUGACCAUGUCCACAGCACAGCAGCCCGGGGUUCGAUUCCCCGCAUUGGAA